rnacentral:rRNA from 1 species
UUGCCGAAAGAUCGGCCCGCGUCGGAUUAGCUAGUUGGUGGGGUAAAAGCCUACCAAGGCGACGAUCCGUAGCUGGUCUGAGAGGAUGACCAGCCACACUGGGACUGAGACACGGCCCAG